GAUGAACGCUGGCGGCGUGCCUAAUACAUGCAAGUCGAGCGAACGGACGAGAAGCUUGCCUCUCUGAUGUUAGCGGCGGACGGGUGAGUAACACGUGGAUAACCUACCUAUAAGACUGGGAUAACUUCGGGAAACCGGAGCUAAUACCGGAUAAUAUUUUGAACCGCAUGGUUCAAAAGUGAAAGACGGUCUUGCUGUCACUUAUAGAUGGAUCCGCGCUGCAUUAGCUAGCUGGUAAGGUAACGGCUUACCAAGGCAACGAUGCAUAGCCGACCUGAGAGGGUGAUCGGCCACACUGGAACUGAGACACGGUCCAGACUCCUACGGGAGGCAGCAGUAGGGAAUCUUCCGCAAUGGGCGAAAGCCUGACGGAGCAACGCCGCGUGAGUGAUGAAGGUCUUCGGAUCGUAAAACUCUGUUAUUAGGGAAGAACAUAUGUGUAAGUAACUGUGCACAUCUUGACGGUACCUAAUCAGAAAGCCACGGCUAACUACGUG
rnacentral:rRNA from 1 species